ACGGUACCCGCAGAAUAAGCACCGGCUAACUACGUGCCAGCAGCCGCGGUAAGACGUAGGGUGCGAGCGUUAAUCGGAAUUACUGGGCGUAAAGCGUGCGCAGGCGGCUUUGUAAGACAGGUGUGAAAUCCCCGGGCUUAACCUGGGAACUGCACUUGUGACUGCAAGGCUAGAGUGUGUCAGAGGGAGGUGGAAUUCCGCGUGUAGCAGUGAAAUGCGUAGAUAUGCGGAGGAACACCGAUGGCGAAGGCAGCCUCCUGGGAUAACACUGACGCUCAUGCACGAAAGCGUGGGGAGCAAACAGGAUUAGAUACCCUGGUAGUCCACGCCCUAAACGAUGUCAACUAGUUGUCGGGGAUUCGUUUCCUUGGUAACGCAGCUAACGCGUGAAGUUGACCGCCUGGGGAGUACGGCCGCAAGGUUAAAACUCAAAGGAAUUGACGGGGACCCGCACAAGCGGUGGAUGAUGUGGAUUAAUUCGAUGCAACGCGAAAAACCUUACCUGCGCUUGACAUGCCAGAACCCCGAAGAGAUUUGGGGGUGCCCGAAAG
rnacentral:rRNA from 1 species